rnacentral:rRNA from 1 species
AUGCGGUUUUUUCAAGCUUUCUAUGACCAUUGCAGUGAUCUGAGCGGCAUCAACACUGCCAAUAUUGUGCUGCUUCCAAAGAAAGAGAACCCAACAGAUAUUCGGGAUUUCAGGCCCAUUGCUUUGGUCCACAGUAUACCCAAGCUUACAACGAAGGUUUUAGCAGUCCGGCUUCAAAGACUCAUCCCGAGCCUCAUACACCCUCUACAAUCUGGUUUUCUGCCUGGAAGAUGCAUAGCCGAAAAUUUUGCUUUGGCAGCCGAGCUGGUUCAGCAGGCAAAGAAGAGGAAAAAGCCACUGCUAGUGCUCAAGUUAGAUUUUUAGAAAGCUUUUGACAGUGUCAGUUGGGAUGCUCUGAAGCUCAUCCUUACAGCCAGAGGUUUUGGGAGCAGAUGGGUCAGAUGGAUACACGACAUCCUAUCAACUAGUUCGUCCAGGAUAGUAAUCAAUGGAUCUGCCGGAGAGAAAAUCAUUUUAAGAAGUGGUCUAAGGCAAGGGGAUGCCCUCUCUCCCUACCUCUUCAUCCUGGCAGCCGACGUUUUGCAACAGCUCUGCAAAAGGGAACACCAAGCGGGGAACCUCAAACAUCCACUUGGGGGUGAUGGCCCCUUCCCGAUCCUGCAGUAUGCGGACGACACAUUGAUCUUAAUGCAAGGGGACAUCCAGCAAGCACGGGUUAUCAAACGGAUUCUACAAGCUUUCAGUGAUUUCACGGGACUUAAGAUCAUUUAUCACAAGAGCACUAUCAUGCCAGUAUGCCUUGACGAACAGACUUGUCAAAGUAUUGCGGAUAUUCUACAAUGUCAGGUUUCGGCUUUCCCGUGCACGUACUUGGGAUUACCCCUCUCUCUCAACAAGAUCAUGCAUGGACUGUUGAUGCCGGUGAUUCACAAAGUGGACAAGCGACUGUCUGGCUGGCUUGCAACUUUUCUGUCUUGGGGGGCCGCCUCACCUUGGUCAACGCAGUCUUGGCAGCGAUCCCCAACUACUUCAUGA